AGAAGCACCGGCUAACUCCGUGCCAGCAGCCGCGGUAAUACGGAGGGUGCAAGCGUUAAUCGGAAUUACUGGGCGUAAAGCGCACGCAGGCGGUUUGUUAAGUCAGAUGUGAAAUCCCCGGGCUCAACCUGGGAACUGCAUCUGAUACUGGCAAGCUUGAGUCUCGUAGAGGGGGGUAGAAUUCCAGGUGUAGCGGUGAAAUGCGUAGAGAUCUGGAGGAAUACCGGUGGCGAAGGCGGCCCCCUGGACGAAGACUGACGCUCAGGUGCGAAAGCGUGGGGAGCAAACAGGAUU
rnacentral:rRNA from 6 species